rnacentral:rRNA from 1 species
UACGAAGGGGGCUAGCGUUGUUCGGAUUUACUGGGCGUAAAGCGCGUGUAGGCAGGUCGUUAAGUUGGGGGUGAAAUCCCGAGGCUCAACCUCGGAACUGCCUUCAAAAAUGGCGACCUGGACUCAAGCAGAGGCAAGUGGAAUUGCGAGUUUAGAGGUGAAAUUCGUAGAUAUUCGCAGGGACACCAGUGGCGAAGGCGACUUUCUUGGCUUGUAGUGACGCUGAGACGCGAAUGCGUGGGGAGCAAACAGG